AUUCAACAUUCAACAGCCCCCCAAUGGCUCCAAAUAGCUAUGAAAAAUUGUUUGCUACUGUGUUGAUUGAAUGAAUUACUUCGGAAGCUGAGAUGAAAAUUAAGAAGGAUUGGAAGUUGUCAGAAGAACAAGGACAAAUUUCUAUAGAGAUAGAUAGAACGCUCCAAGAAAAAAUGAGAUUAAAAGUGGACAAAGAGAUUAAAAGUGGUGGAUUCUAUAAUGUCGAGAAUUCAACAGGGGCAAGGUUCUUGCAUUAUCUAAAAAGCCAUCGACAAAGGAGGGGAGCUUGAAGACACUUAGUAGUUAAUUUUCUUUUUCAUUUGUGUAUAUGCAUAAAUGACAUUGAACAAUGAAUUAUUGUGAAUUAUAUAUUUUGUUGAUUUUUUUAGUAAUAGAAGUACUUGUUAUAUC